CUAGCGUGGAGGCAGAGGCCACAGCCAGCCAGCCCCAGCCAGUGUUACGUGGGAUUCUGUGAGGGGAGGAGCUGCACCCCUAUUAAUUCCUCCCCAAAUAGUGUGUAUCUGAAAAACUGACUUCCUAACACCUGUGCUGAUAUAUAAAGCCACUUAGGAACAUAACGCGACGCACUCUGCUUGGUCUGAAGAGUGCAGGUGUGUGAAAAUACAAAUGCUAAAGAACACGCGGAAGAAAAGAACAAGAACUAGAAAGAGACCGAUAAAGAAAGGAGAACUGAGGAAGAACUGGAUAAAGGAGUGAACA